UCUUACCCAGCUUCCCCUUACCAUUACACCAUUUGGAUGAAUUUUGCGUGGGGAAUAUAAAAUAUGCACAAUAUAGUAAAAGAAAGGUGGAAACAUUAUUCAUUUUGAAUGUAUCAGUUUCUUGCUUGAGAAAAUAAACAUGGUGGCCGGGUUAGCUGAACGUAGAUCUCGACGUAGAUAUUGACAUCACUACGUAGCAUGACACUACGUAUUUUUAUUUCAUCUUCCAUCUCUUUCUGCUGAUUCGAAAAAAUGACAACCACGCUCACGCAUUAAGAAAUGUUACCACCUCCACUAUACCGUAUAUUAGAUGAACAAUUCAUUCACAUCCUGUCAAAACACAUUGUUUUGACAUGAGUGAAUUCUGCUCAGUCUUCUUGGAAGAUAAUUAAAACAAAAUGUCGCUAGUCUUAUUUUCGGGUUCAGAUCGUCGGAAUUGGAUGUUUUCCUUACUGUCCGCGUGUAACAAGCGGUAUGCAGUGCAGUGCAAAAAAUAAGUCGAUUGUAAAACAUUACAUCGUACUGUUUGCCGUUAGUGUAAUACGAUCUGCCAUUGGUUUAUUUUUUUCAACUUUUCGACAACCCACGGGAUUAAGAUUAUACGUAUAUUACUUAGAGUGCUGCCUAUCAAAUCACGGUGCGAAUUAAAAUACCACGUCGCAUUUACCAUUGUGUACAACGACCAGAGCGUAGCAAAUUUAAGUGAUUUUUACGGGUACAUACGAUUUAACUCAGCCGAAAGUAAUGAGUAAUGUCUACAAGAACAACGACCGAUAAUGUUAUCACCGCCAAUGCCAAUUGUGAUUGCGCUUACAGUGAAAUGAAAAAUUAAAAGUACCGUAUAUCACGAAAUCUAGGCUAGGGAAGAUGAACGACUAGUAACGAAAUGGUUAGCAGCAUCGACAUCAACAACCAGAUUUCAACCCAGCGCUUGACUGGAAUCAAGAAAACAGAUGGAGUUUGCAGAUGGACCCGAAAAAAAAUUUGUUGACCUAAUUUUACAAUCAAACUUUAUUAUCACCAAAAUAAGAAAACUAUCGUUGCAUAUAAAUAUAUAAAUGACCUGAAA